AACAAACUGGCUUGGUGGUUUCAGUGUUGGACUAUGACUCUGAAGACCAGGGUUCGAUUCCUUGCUCGGUCA